rnacentral:rRNA from 1 species
CUGACUCCAAGAUCAGGAAUCCUAGGACACAGAAAGAUGAUCUGUUUGAUAGGCGUAAGGUGUAAACCUGGUAACAGGCUAGCCGAAGCGUACUAAUAGUCCAUCGACCUUUUUAU